GAGUUUGAUCGUGGCUCAGAUUGAACGCUGGCGGCAUGCCUUACACAUGCAAGUCGAACGGUAGCACGGGAGCUUGCUCCUGGUGGCGAGUGGCGAACGGGUGAGUAAUGCAUCGGAACGUAUCCUGGAGUGGGGGAUAACGUAGCGAAAGUUACGCUAAUACCGCAUAUUCUGUGAGCAGGAAAGCGGGGGACCUUCGGGCCUCGCGCUCUUGGAGCGGCCGAUGUCGGAUUAGCUAGUUGGUGAGGUAAAGGCUCACCAAGGCGACGAUCCGUAGCAGGUCUGAGAGGAUGAUCUGCCACACUGGAACUGAGACACGGUCCAGACUCCUACGGGAGGCAGCAGUGGGGAAUUUUGGACAAUGGGGGCGAACCCUGAUCCAGCCAUGCCGCGUGAGUGAAGAAGGCCUCGG
rnacentral:rRNA from 1 species